GGGUUAGUCGGGUCCUAAGCUGAGGCCGACAGGCGUAGGCGAUGGAUAACAGGUUGAUAUUCCUGUACCACCUAUAAUCGUUUUAAUCGAUGGGGGGACGCAGUAGGAUAGGCGAAGCGUGCGAUUGGAUUGCACGUCUAAGCAGUAAGGCUGAGUAUUAGGCAAAUCCGGUACUCGUUAAGGCUGAGCUGUGAUGGGGAGAAGACAUUGAGUCUUCGAGUCGUUGAUUUCACACUGCCGAGAAAAGCCUCUAGAUAGAAAAUAGGUGCCCGUACCGCAAACCGACACAGGUAGUCAAGAUGAGAAUUCUAAGGUGAGCGAGCGAACUCUCGUUAAGGAACUCGGCAAAAUGACCCCGUAACUUCGGGAGAAGGGGUGCUCUUUAGGGUUAACGCCCAGAAGAGCCGCAGUGAAUAGGCCCAAGCGACUGUUUAUCAAAAACACAGGUCUCUGCUAAACCGUAAGGUGAUGUAUAGGGGCUGACGCCUGCCCGGUGCUGGAAGGUUAAGAGGAGUGGUUAGCUUCUGCGAAGCUACGAAUCGAAGCCCCAGUAAACGGCGGCCGUAACUAUAACGGUCCUAAGGUAGCGAAAUUCCUUGUCGGGUAAGUUCCGACCCGCACGAAAGGCGUAACGAUUUGGGCACUGUCUCAACGAGAGACUCGGUGAAAUCAUAGUACCUGUGAAGAUGCAGGUUACCCGCGACAGGACGGAAAGACCCCGUGGAGCUUUACUGUAGCCUGAUAUUGAAAUUCGGCACAGCUUGUACAGGAUAGGUAGGAGCCUUUGAAACGUGAGCGCUAGCUUACGUGGAGGCGCUGGUGGGAUACUACCCUAGCUGUGUUGGCUUUCUAACCCGCACCACUUAUCGUGGUGGGAGACAGUGUCAGGCGGGCAGUUUGACUGGGGCGGUCGCCUCCUAAAAGGUAACGGAGGCGCUCAAAGGUUCCCUCAGAAUGGUUGGAAAUCAUUCAUAGAGUGUAAAGGCAUAAGGGAGCUUGACUGCGAGACCUACAAGUCGAGCAGGGUCGAAAGACGGACUUAGUGAUCCGGUGGUUCCGCAUGGAAGGGCCAUCGCUCAACGGAUAAAAGCUACCCCGGGGAUAACAGGCUUAUCUCCCCCAAGAGUUCACAUCGACGGGGAGGUUUGGCACCUCGAUGUCGGCUCAUCGCAUCCUGGGGCUGUAGUCGGUCCCAAGGGUUGGGCUGUUCGCCCAUUAAAGCGGUACGCGAGCUGGGUUCAGAACGUCGUGAGACAGUUCGGUCCCUAUCCGUCGUGGGCGUAGGAAAUUUGAGAGGAGCUGUCCUUAGUACGAGAGGACCGGGAUGGACAUACCUCUGGUGUACCAGUUGUCGUGCCAACGGCAUAGCUGGGUAGCUAUGUGUGGACGGGAUAAGUGCUGAAAGCAUCUAAGCAUGAAGCCCCCCUCAAGAUGAGAUUUCCCAACUUCGGUUAUAAGAUCCCUCAAAGAUGAUGAGGUUAAUAGGUUCGAGGUGGAAGCAUGGUGACAUGUGGAGCUGACGAAUACUAAUCGAUCGAAGACUUAAUCAA
rnacentral:rRNA from 1 species